CCUACGGGGUGCAGCAGUGAGGAAUAUUGGUCAAUGGGCGUAAGCCUGAACCAGCCAAGUCGCGUGAGUGAUGAAGGUUCUAUGGAUCGUAAACCUCUUUUAUAAGGGAAUAAAGUUUGGGACGUGUCCUGUUUUGUAUGUACCUUAUGAAUAAGGAUCGGCUAACUCCGUGCCAGCAGCCGCGGUAAUACGGAGGGUCCGAGCGUUAACCGGAUUUAUUGGGUUUAAAGGGUGCGUAGGCGGCCUUUUAAGUCAGCGGUGAAAGUCUGUGGCUUAACCAUAGAAUUGCCGUUGAAACUGGGAGGCUUGAGUAUGUUAGAGACAGGCAGAAUGCGUGGUGUAGCGGUGAAAUGCUUAGAUAUGUGGCAGAACCCCGAUGGCGAAGGCAGCCUGUCAAGACAGGACUGACGCUGAUGCGCGAAAGCGUGGGGAGCAAACAGGAUUAGAUACCCUAGUAGUC
rnacentral:rRNA from 1 species